rnacentral:rRNA from 1 species
UAGGAGGCGGGAGAGGCGGACGGUACUCCGCGGGUAGGGGUAAAAUCCUUUGAUCCGCGGAAGACCACCAGUGGCGAAGGCGGUCCACCAGAACGCGCUCGACGGUGAGGGAUGAAAGCUGGGGGAGCGAACCGGAUUAGAUACCCGGGUAGUCCCAGCCGUAAACGAUG